AUACGGAGGGUGCAAGCGUUACUCGGAAUCACUGGGCGUAAAGCGCGCGCAGGCGGCUUGAUAAGUUGGAUGGGAAAGCCUACGGCUCAACCGUAGAACUGCAUCCAAAACUGUCAAGCUAGAGUCUGGGAGGGGAAGAUGGAAUUAGUUGUGUAGGGGUAAAAUCCGUAGAGAUAACUAGGAAUACCAAAAGCGAAGGCGAUCUUCUGGAACAGUACUGACGCUGAGGCGCGAAAGCGUGGGGAGCAAACAGGAUUAGAAACCCCAGUAGUCC
rnacentral:rRNA from 1 species